UUUGGAAAAAUUAGUCCCCUGUAUGUUCAAAUCCAUCUUUUUCUUUGCCUUAGGUCUUUUAUGUCAUUAUUUAAAUUGUUGGUGCACACGUGCUCUUUAUCAGUUGGUUGUCUACCAAGGUUACCAGGUGUAAUGCACCGCUUCUUUCAGGGAGUGAUAUGUGUUUUGUCCACGUGUCACUCACCACCCAAAAAAUCCAUUCGUUUGUGUCACACCGCCUACUCUUCCAAACUACCCUCUUAUCUGUGCUCUCUAUCUCUCUUCUUCUUCCACCAUUCCUCUUUUCUUUGUCCUUCGUUCUGUCUCUGCCCAGAUAUUCCCCGAUUUCAUCUCUUAUUCGUUUCCGACUGGAAUCUUCAUUUACAUCUACUUCAGGCAUCUUCCAUCAUCAUAAAUUUCAUUCGCAAAUUCCGAUUGCUAUUGCAAUGCAGUUUCACUCUUCCAAACUCUUUACCUCUUCUACCCCUCAUUUUCUUUUCGGAUUUUUUUACCGCAAGUAUUGUUCAAUGACCUUUUUUCUUCACGGCCUAUUGAUGUUUUCCAUUUGAUGUCGACUUACUCUUUUUCAAUUAUUUCAAUCUACUUCUAUUCAUAUUGUUUGCUUCCGAAUCCAGACAUAUACGUUUGGAUGCAACAUGUUUCUCUCCAGUCGAUUUUAUUUCGGUUCUUCUUUACUCGGAUUCUGAGAUCUUUAGUUCCCUUUAUGGAAACUCAGUAGAGUAUGGUGAUGAACUUCGUGUUGGAAGAAGGUUCCUGCUGAUGUAGAGUCGUCCUCCAAAGGAAACUCCUACCAACUUGCGGAAUCAUGGAAUCUGAGGAUGGAGAGGGAAGGAUCCCGUAAUUGAAAACAAGGAAGAUGUUUUCUUACCCAUUGAUUAUGUUUUUCACGCAGUGUCAACAGGUAAUUGAGACCAACCGACUUCGAAGCACAUGGAUUUUUUGGAGCACUAUUUAGGGUUUUAAUAAGUUGAUUCAAUUUACAAGUUUGAUGAUGGUGAUGGAGUUAGGUUUAGUCAUUGAGCAUAUAAUAUUCAACAUGGAAUUGAUGUAGACGUUGUUGAUAGUGAAGAUCGUGAUAGCGACGAUAACGAAGAAGAUGAAAUUGAAGUUGAUGAGUAUGAGAAAGAUGAUUUCAUAGUAGAUGAUGUUGAUGAAGAUGAGCAGGAUGCUUAUGAACAUGAAAGGGCAGAUAUUGAUGAUGAGAGGAAAAAGAAUAAGAAAAGAAAGAAUCGAAGCGGAACAAUGUUCUUGAUGAAGACGACUGUGAGUUCCUUCAAGAUAACAUCAUUGGUAUUAGGCAUCGAAAUUUUGUGAGAUUUUGCGUUUAUGUUUUGCUAUGAAUGGAUGUGUUAGUGUCUGCAGCUGUGUAUCUUACUGUGUGUGUGUGUACGUGUGUUUAUGUAUACAUCUAAUUUUUUUUGCUUAAGUGGUAAUAGUAAACUUUCGGUUCUACUUCCAUUUGAUAAUGUUACAGACUAAUAAAGGAGAGGAACUUCUACAUCCAAUUGGUAAUAGAUGCUUUAAGAAAGUGGUUGACUUAGAGGACAAGUAGAUGCGAAACAAAUACUACAAAUGGAAAUUAAAGGCUUUUCAUCGCAAAUGGAGAGAUGUUUGGGGAAUUUGUUGUAUCGGAUUGCACUAUUAUAAGAUAUGAACAUGACGAUUCUAGACGAUUAUGAGAUGGAAGAUCUUGGUUAUCUUGCUGACCUUAACCAUGACGGUACUCAGUAUCCUUAAAAUAUUUUUCAUGACUGUAUUGCUUCAAUUUAGAAAUUGAUGAUGAUGAUAGGUAAUGAAAAAUUAAAAGAAAUCAUCAUUAUCGGUCAUUGUAUACAACCGACCUUAUUUUUUUCUUCAAUAAAGCUCACAAUUUCACAAAUAUUGUAUAAAACAAACGAUUCACACAUUUAUGUAUAAUUACAGGAUAAGUACUUGUUGUAGGCAAGCCCAAUGUUGGAAAAAGUACACAUUCAAACUGGAUAUCCAUGGAAAAUUACUUUUACCCAACUCUCUAAAAAAUCCCAAGAACCCUUUUUCACCACCAUUUGACCCUUUUUCAUGACCAAAACAUGAACUUGAUUUCACCGUCUCCAGUAUUUUUCAGAUAUUGAUCCAACGAUUUUGGCUUUUAAAGCUUCUUUUGGACAUGAUGUCGUUCAUUCAUAGAUCUUUAUUUUAGCUUAUAUGGAAAAAAACAUGCUCUUUAGAGGUGGAAUUUAUGUAGAUCUAGACUUCAUAUCACCUACUAUUAGUAAUAUAAUUUACAGAUCAUGAAGACACUAACCAUUUCAAUAUUUCUACUCUUUUUCUAUACAUUAAUAUAACUCAUGAUGUCAAUGGAACCUUAGGUUUAUUUUUUUUCCUCAGGUUGACAUUUUAACAAC